AGCUGCAUUACCUGGAGAUCUUGUUAGAAUACAGGUUGCUGGGUCUACUUGGAAGGUCCCAUUUUGGAGGCCUGGGUGUGUUUAAGAAACUGCAUUUCUAAAUGGUUCCCAGGUGAUGCUGAU
rnacentral:miRNA from 1 species